AUGAUUUUUUAUUAUUUGUGAACGUACUACGAACAAACAAAAAAUAUUAUAGUCAAAAAAAAUUAAAUCAAAACUUUUAACAAUGGAUCUCUUGGUUCUCGUAUCGAUGAAGAACGCAGCGAAACGCGGUAUUUCUUGUGAAUUGCAGAAGUGAAUCAUCAGUUUUUGAACGCACAUUGCACUUUGGGGUAUCCCCCAAAGUAUACUUGUUUGAGCGUUGUUUCUCUCUUGGAAUUGCAUUUGCUUUUCUAAAAAUCGAAUCAAAUUCGUUUGAAACUUCAUUUAUUUCAACCUCAGAUCAAGUAGGAUUACCCGCUGAACUUAAGCAUAUCAAUAAGCGGAGGACGUUCCCUUGGUCAUUUAGAGGAAGUAAAAGUCGUAACAAGGUCUCCGUUGGUGAACCAGCGGAGGGAUCAUUACCGAGUUUACAACUCCCAAACCCCUGUGAACAUACCACUUGUUGCCUCGGCGGAUCAGCCCGCUCCCGGUAAAACGGGACGGCCCGCCAGAGGACCCCUAAACUCUGUUUCUAUAUGUAACUUCUGAGUAAAACCAUAAAUAAAUCA
rnacentral:misc_RNA from 1 species